GUCCUGGUAGUGUAGUGGUAGCACGCGCCCCCGGUAUGGGUGAAAUGUGGAUUAAACUCCCGUUUGAGAUC